UACGUAGGGUGCAAGCGUUGUCCGGAAUUAUUGGGCGUAAAGAGCUCGUAGGCGGCUUGUCACGUCGACUGUGAAAACCCGGGGCUCAACUCCGGGCCUGCAGUCGAUACGGGCUGGCUUGAGUGCGGUAGGGGAGACUGGAAUUCCUGGUGUAGCGGUGAAAUGCGCAGAGAUCCGGAGGAACACCAGCGGCGAAGGCGGCAUCCUGGACUGGUCCUGACACUCAGGAGCGAAAGCGUGGGGAGCGAUCCGG
rnacentral:rRNA from 1 species